AUGGAUACAAGAUCUGAAGGAGAUAGAACUGACCAUCUGCAUUCAGCUGAUGUCCCAAGUGAUGCCAAUGCCAAAGGUCCGUUCGAUGACCGUGUUUCUGAUCCACGGAGAAGCAAAGAAAGGGAGAAAGAAAGGGAGAAAGAAGAGGAGAUAUGGAAAUAUUGUGGGGGGCUGCCUUUGGCCAUAGUCACCAUGGCUGGCCUUGUGGCCUGCAACCCAACAAAAGACAAUGACCAUUGGCGUAAAGUUUGCAAGUCAUUAUUUCCAGAGCAAGUAGCUCCCCUUACAUUGGAGGGGGUGACAAGGAUACUUGAUUAUUGCUACAAUGAUUUGCCAGCAGAUCUCAAGACCUGCUCAUUGUACUUGAGCAUAUUCCGCAAGGGCUCAAAAAUUAGUAAGAAGCGUCUGACCCGACAGUGGAUAUCAGAAUGUUUUGUUGCUGAGAAGCAAGGGCUGAGUGCGGAGGAAGUGGCAGAAACAUACUUCAAUCAGCUUCUAAGCAGGAAGAUAAUACACCCUGUGGAUCACAGCAGCAACGGGAAGGUAAAAUCCUUUAAAGUUCAUGACAUGAUCCUGGAAUAUAUCGUGUCCAAGUCAAGCGAAGAGAAUUUUAUUACUGUUGUUCGUGGACAUUGGUUGAUGCCAACUCCUAGCAACAAAGUCCGUCGACUCUCCAUGCAAAGCAGUGGUUCCAAACAUGGGAAUUCAACAAAAGGCAUGAACUUGUCUCAAGUGCGGUCACUGACAGCAUUUGGAAGCCAAAACCGACGACUCCCAUUCCGUUCGUUCAAUAAUGGAAUAAUACAAGUGCUUGAUCUUGAGUGCUGGAAGGGUUUGACAGAUAAGCAUAUGAAUGACAUAUGUAAAAUGCUUGUGCUGAAGUAUUUGAGCCUCCGACGAACAGAGGUUUCUGAGAUUCCAUCAAAGAUCGAGAAGCUCCAGUAUCUAGAAACUUUUGACAUAAGGGAGACAAAUGUCGGGGUGCUGCCAAAAGCUUUUGGACAGCUCAAACAACUUCGUAGCAUGCUUGGAGGGAACAAAAACACAAAGAAGGCUUUGAAGUUGCCACAUGAGAAGAACAAGGAGCUGAUGAAAGCACUUCGGAUCUUGUCAGGGCUUGAGAUCGGUGAGGACUCAUCAGCUGUAGCAAGCCUUCAUCAGCUGACAGGGCUAAGGAAGCUUGCCAUUUACAAGCUCAAUAUAAGGGAGGGUGGUCAGACCUUCAAACAAUUACGCUCCUCCAUUGAGUACAUCUGUAGCUGCGGUCUGCAGACAUUGGCAAUCAAUGAUGAGAGCUCUAAUUUUAUCAACUCACUAGACACCAUGACCACUCCUCCAAGAUACAUCAUCGGCCUAGAGUUGUCUGGCAAGAUGGAAAGGCCUCCACAGUGGAUCAGAGAACUCAAUAACCUCUAUAAGCUGACCCUUUAUGUGACAGUUCUUCGGACUGAUACUUUCAAGCUCAUCCAGGACCUACCCAAAUUGUUUACGCUCACCUUUACACUCAGUGCAGCCAAGGAUGAUAGGGACAUAGUGGACAUUCUUGAGGAAAAUAAACAGCUUACCGAUAGGGAGAUCAUUAUUCCACCUGGAGGAUUCAAGAGUCUAAAGCUGCUUCGCUUCUUUGCAACUAUGGUGCCAAGGCUGAGCUUUGCAGUUACAGGAAAAGAGGUAAUGCCACCACUGGAGAGGAUUGAUAUGCGGUUCGAAGCCUUUGAAGGGAUUUACGGCAUCGAGACUCUCGAAAGCCUCCAAGAGGUGCACCUCAGUGUUGGUAAUCAAGCAGAUGAAAUAACCAAGUUCUUGGUAGAUGAUUGA
rnacentral:rRNA from 1 species